UACACAGUAAGUAACAGAUGUAUGUACCUGUUGUGGCGAUGAGUCAUCACCGUCAUGAGAGACAAAUAAUGUUUUACCAGGCGGUGGUCGAUUGUAGCAAUGUACGGAUCCGAUGAUAAUUACCAAAACCGAAAGUGCCAAACCUGGAAAAUGUGACCCCAUUUUGUUUACAAAAAAUGGGUGAAGAGAUUUAUAUUAAUUUAAUUCCUGUCUGCAAUACUAGAAGAAAAGAAAGAGAUAACGGUUGAAGAAGAAGAAGUUGAAGGAAGAAAGACGAAGGAAAU
rnacentral:lncRNA from 1 species